rnacentral:rRNA from 1 species
UACGUAGGGUGCGAGCGUUGUCCGGAAUUAUUGGGCGUAAAGAGCUCGUAGGCGGCUUGUCGCGUCGGAUGUGAAAGCCCGGGGCUUAACUCCAGGUCUGCAUUCGAUACGGGCAGGCUAGAGUUCGGUAGGGGAGAUCGGAAUUCCUGGUGUAGCGGUGAAAUGCGCAGAUAUCAGGAGGAACACCGGUGGCGAAGGCGGGUCUCUGGGCCGAUACUGACGCUGAGGAGCGAAAGCGUGGGGAGCGAACAGG